rnacentral:tRNA from 6 species
GGGGAUAUGGCGGAAUUGGUAGACGCUACGGACUUAGGAAAAUCCGUCGGCUUUAUAGACCGUGAGAGUUCAAAUCUCUCUAUCCCCA